GGACGAACGCGGGCGGCGUGCUUACACAUGCAAGUCGAGCGGAAAGGCCCUUCGGGGUACUCGAGCGGCGAACGGGUGAGUAACACGUGAGUAACCUGCCCUUGGCUUUGGGAUAACCCUCGGAAACGGGGGCUAAUACCGGAUAUUCACUGUCUAUCGCAUGGUGGGUGGUGGAAAGUUUUUCGGCUGGGGAUGGGCUCGCGGCCUAUCAGCUUGUUGGUGGGGUGAUGGCCUACCAAGGCGACGACGGGUAGCCGGCCUGAGAGGGCGACCGGCCACACUGGGACUGAACACCGCCCCAGACUCCUACGGGAGGCACCACUGGGGAAUAUGCACAAUGGGCGGAGCCUGAUGCAGCGACGCCGCGUGAGGGAUGACGGCUUCGGGUUGUAAACCUCUUUCAGCAGGGGACGAAGCGUGAGUGACGGUACCUGCAGAAGAAGCGCCGGCCAACUACGUGCCAGCAGCCGCGGUAAGACGUAGGGCGCGGGCGUUGUCCGGAUUUAUUGGGCGUAAAGAGCUCGUAGGCGGCUUGUCGCGUCGACUGUGAAAUCCCGUGGCUCAACUGCGGGUCUGCAGUCGAUACGGGCAGGCUAGAGUUCGGUAGGGGAGACUGGAAUUCCCGGUGUAGCGGUGAAAUGCGCAGAUAUCGGGAGGAACACCAGUAGCGAAGGCGGCUCGCUGGGCCGUUCCUGACGCUGAGACGCGAAAGCUAGGGGAGCGAACAGGAUUAGAUACCCUGGUAGUCCUAGCCGUAAACGAUGGACACUAGGUGUGGGGGGAGUCGAAUCCCUCUGUGCCGCAGUUAACGCGUUAAGUGUCCCGCCUGGGGAGUACGGCCGCAAGGCUAAAACUCAAAAGAAUUGACGGGGGCCCGCACAAGCAGCGGAGCAUGUUCUUUAAUUCGAUGCAACGCGAAGAACCUUACCUGGGCUUGACAUGGUGCUGCAAGCGCACGGAAACGUGUGACCUUCGAGGGUGCACCACAGAUGCUGCAUGGCUGUCGUCAGCUCGUGUCGUGAGAUGUUGGGUUAAGUCCCGCAACGAGCGCAACCCCUGUGGCGUGUUACCAUCAUUAAGUUGGGGACUCACGCCAGACUGCCGGUGACAAACCGGAGGAAGGUGGGGAUGAGGUCAAGUCAUCAUGGCUCUUACGUCCAGGGCUAGAAACGUGCUACAAUGGCUGAUACAAAGGGUUGCAAGACCGCAAGGUGGAGCGAAUCUCAUCAAAGUCAGUCUAAGUUCGGAUCGCAGUCUGCAACUCGACUGCGUGAAGGCAGUAGUUGCUA
rnacentral:rRNA from 1 species